rnacentral:rRNA from 1 species
AUUGAACGCUGGCGGCAUGCCUUACACAUGCAAGUCGAACGGCAGCACGGGAGCAAUCCUGGUGGCGAGUGGCGAACGGGUGAGUAAUAUAUCGGAACGUGCCCAGUCGUGGGGGAUAACGUAGCGAAAGCUACGCUAAUACCGCAUACGAUCUAUGGAUGAAAGCGGGGGAUCGCAAGACCUCGCGCGAUUGGAGCGGCCGAUAUCAGAUUAGGUAGUUGGUGAGGUAAAGGCUCACCAAGCCGACGAUCUGUAGCUGGUCUGAGAGGACGACCAGCCACACUGGGACUGAGACACGGCCCAGACUCCUACGGAGGCAGCAGUGGGGAAUUUUUGGGACAAUGGGCGCAAGCCUGAUCCAGCAAUGCCGCGUGCAGGAUGAAGG